rnacentral:tRNA from 2 species
GUGACCGUAGUUCAGUUGGUAGAGCACCUGAUUGUGGUUCAGGUUGUCGUGGGUUCGAGCCCCAUCGGUCACCCCA